rnacentral:lncRNA from 1 species
GGAGGGAUAUUGAUAUUUCCCCAGCCCAGCAUUCAGCCAAUAGAUGAAAAAAGAUUCAAGGAAGACACAUUUGCUUUUUAUUCACUCAUCACUUCCCAUCACUAUGCUGACCAGAGUCAAUGUGAGCAGAGUUGAGAAUAGCAGUUUUCUGGCAGGAGAGCCACUUCUCAGCAAAAAAUGACACACUCAAAGUAUAAAUCUUUCAUGGAAGGCUCACAUAUUUUCAGCAAAUUAAGCAUAUGCAUGAAUAAAAUUCUUGUGGUGA